rnacentral:rRNA from 1 species
GUAGUUGCCAUCAUUCAGUUGGGCACUCUAGCGAGACUGCCGGUAAUAAACCGGAGGAAAGUGGGGACGACGUCAAAUCAUCAUGCCCCUUAUGACCUGGGCUACACACGUGCUACAAUGGUUGGUACAACGAGUUGCGAGUCGGUGACGGCGAGCUAAUCUCUUAAAGCCAAUCUCAGUUCGGAUUGUAGGCUGCAACUCGCCUACAUGAAGUCGGAAUCGCUAGUAAUCGCGGAUCAGCACGCCGCGGUGAAUACGUUCCCGGGCCUU